ACUGAAGUUAAAGUUGGUGUUUAAAUUGUUUUGCUUUGCAAUACGUGUUGGCAAAAGAAUUGAAGCUAGUUGAGAGAGUUUAUCCUAAUUGUGAGAAAAGGAGGCAAACAGUUAAAGAGAGACAGAGAUCUGAAGCGGGAAGAAGAGAAUCAUUGUCCCCUAAAGUUCUAUGCCCACGCGCGGCACCCUCGUGAACUCACACUCUCACCUGGCAGCCUUGUGAUUGGAGCACGUGAAGCGCGUGGUGCUUUAUUCACUCACUCAUUCAGUGAAAGUGAAGUGGUCCCAAGCUUGCGGUUAUUGCUACUUGUAGUUCAUCUACAUCAUGCAUCACUGUUCACCACUCAUCCUCACCGUCCGUUUUAUUUACCAGAUCAACAACCCUGAUCAUCACGCUCUCUUCUAAACUAUACAAAUUAAAUUUAAGCUUAGCUUUUCAUCGCGGGAUUUGCGGUUUAUUUGGUGCGACGAAAGCUAAUUAAUCUCCGAUCCAAACAAUGGCAAGGGAUAAAAGGGGAACCCAGUGUGUGAAUAUGCUUUUCUUCUUCCCAUUAUUUUAAUUAAGAUGUAAUUUUUCUUGUAAAGUGGGUGAAAGUUUAGUUUUGUCAGCUAAUAAUAAACCAGAAACUAUAGGGUAUCCUAUGGUGGAUUAAUUAUAUGAUAUCCACAUAUUAUUAGUAUAUGACCAAAAUAUCUUGUUUGAUUGGUGUUAGAAAUAAAUAUUUUACUGUGGACAUGAACUGGCUUCCAAGUUCCAAUUAUAGUUGUGGUCCAUGACUCUUCAUACCUCUGCUAAAAUGUUACUAAGCUAAAACAAAUAAAACAAAUGCAGGUAUAUAGCUCCAAUUGUGAGAUGACUAUACCUCAAAUUGAAGAUCCAAUUUAAUUUGUACAGAAUCCGUUUAUAGUAUAGAUUUUUACAAGCAACAAAAUAAAUAUCCCUGUUCACUACUUGUUUAGCUCAAAUGAACUUGUUUCCAACUCUUAGGAGAAAAUUGCGAAAAAGAUAAACCUUAUAUAGAAUUGUUAUACCAGCGGCGUGCACUUUUAAAUGUACAUAUCAUUACACUUGAAAUUCAAAUCCAGCUAGUGGAAACUGCUUUGGCAGUAUAAAACAAUUGGGAAUCCAAAGCAUCAAUAAUGUUCCCUAUAUAUAUAAAUAUAGCAAAUAAGGUUAAAUGGUUAAAAAAAAAAUAACAAGAAUGAUUGGGCAAUGAAAAGGGAGAGUGAUAUGAAAUUGACUGUUCAAGUCAAACACCAAAGUCAUUAUCCUUGCCGCCUUGGCUUAUACACAACGUUACCGUCCUUUAGUUAUGAACCCUACCUCAUUUUGAUUUUCUUCCUUUUCUUUUUGUCUUUUAUUGCCCAUCACAAUUCAAUACUUCCCUACCUAUUUUCAAAUUCCUUUUGACUUAUCUUCCGAUUAACAUUAUUAUUAUUUUGUUAAUUAUAUACGUAUGGAGAAAAGUGUAAAAUAUAUAUGGCCAAUAUAACAUCAAACACAUGAGAUAUUUCAACUCACAAGAAUAAUCCAUUUAUAUACACUAUAGUGUUGUCAAUGUCAAAGAAGGCUAUCAUGCUAAAUAUACACAUAAUCAAUGAAUAUGAUAGGUAUUAUAAAGUAAUAAUUGACUAUCGUUGCUCAAUAAUGUUUCAUUUUAAAAAAUUAUUGGGAUCGCGUACAUACAUAUAUACUUUCUUUCUGAUAAAUCAUGUCUCAUCUUAAAUCGUUAGCUGUGAAACAAUGUUUAAUUUUAUUAAGAAGAAAAAAGAAAGAAUAGAGUAUAAUAUAGAGAGAACUAGAAUGGUGGAAAUGAAUGCCUUCUUGGAUGAAAUUCAUAUUGUAUAUAAAAUUAUAAAUAAUUUUGGUCUCUCUCUCACUCCUUACCUGGCAAUGAUCCCAAUAAUUUGGCUAGCUAGUUGGAUAUUAUAAUCAAUCAUCCACUCUUAUACUAAAAUAAUUGUAGAGAAAUAAAUAGAGAUAAAUUAAAAGAUGAAAGAAAUAAAAUAACUGAAGAUAGAGUAUUAGCUAUUGAAAAUUUUCCAUUUAAAUACUUUUUUUGAGUUUUAAUUAAUCCUAUUUUUCAUACAUAAGUGAAAAUAAAUACAAGGCAAUAGCAAAGAGAAAUUUGUUCCUCCUAUACAUAAACACUCGUCCCUUUGGACCAAAAUCAAAGUGUAAAUGGCAAUAGGAAA